rnacentral:ncRNA from 1 species
CCGCCGAUUCAAUUCUCCAGAAAGUGCCUCGGCUAUGCAAAGUUAUUUCUGGAACAGAGCUCUGGGGACAACGUAGCCGCCGGGUAUCCGGUACGCCGAGCCGUGAGGCAAGGCGGAAUCUGCUAGCACGAAGGCGGAGAGGAGC